GAACGAAAAAAAAAAAAAAACCUCUUCUUUCUCUCUCACCCAUUCGUCCCUUCCCUUCUUUUUUCCUUUCUUUCUUUCUUUC
rnacentral:ribozyme from 1 species